GAGCAGCGGAGUCAGAUCCUGUAUCCAGGUCAAGCUACUGAAGGGAAAGACAACAUGGUUCCUGCAAAGAGAAUCUUGAACGUUUUCUGCAUCCUUUCUCAUUUAAUUGUGUGGUCCAAUGUUAUGGUGGGAGCUGAUUCACCUUGUGUGUCGCGUCGAUGCCUGGCUAACGAUCUGAUCGCAAAGGGGC